AGAGUUUGAUCCUGGCUCAGAACGUACGCUGGCGGCACGCCUAACACAUGCAAGUCGAACGAAGUAGCAAUACUUAGUGGCAGACGGGUGAGUAACAUGUGGGUAUCUACCCUUUGGCCUGGAAUAACACGAGGAAACUUGUGCUAAUACCGGAUAAGUCUUUACGGAGAAAGCUUUAUGCACCAUUGGAUGAGCCCGCACUUGAUUAGUUUGUUGGUAGGGUAAUGGCCUACCAAGACUAUGAUCAAUAGCUGAUUUGAGAGGAUGAUCAGCCACAUUGGGACUGAGACACGGCCCAAACUCCUACGGGAGGCAGCAGUGGGGAAUCUUGCACAAUGGAGGAAACUCUGAUGCAGCGAUGCCGCGUGAGUGAAGAAGGCCUUUGGGUUGUAAAGCUCUUUCGUCGGGGAAGAAAAUGACUGUACCCGAAUAAGAAGGUCCGGCUAACUUCGUGCCAGCAGCCGCGGUAAUACGAAGGGACCUAGCGUAGUUCGGAAUUACUGGGCUUAAAGAGUUCGUAGGUGGUUGAAAAAGUUGGUGGUGAAAUCCCAGAGCUUAACUCUGGAACUGCCAUCAAAACUUUUCAGCUAGAGUAUGAUAGAGGAAAGCGGAAUUUCUAGUGUAGAGGUGAAAUUCGUAGAUAUUAGAAAGAAUACCAAUUGCGAAGGCAGCUUUCUGGAUCAUUACUGACACUGAGGAACGAAAGCAUGGGUAGCGAAGAGGAUUAGAUACCCUCGUAGUCCAUGCCGUAAACGAUGUGUGUUAGACGUUGGAAA
rnacentral:rRNA from 1 species